rnacentral:piRNA from 1 species
UGAAAACUCUUUGUGUGUGAUGGCUGCGGU